AACGAACGCUGGCGGCAUGCCUAACACAUGCAAGUCGAACGGAAGCAUCGUGCUUGCUCGUGGAUUCAGCGGCGGCCGGGGGAGAAAUGCCCAGGAGUCUGCCUGAACUCGCGGGAUGACGUCCUAAAACGGGCGCUUAUACUCCAUCCGACGAGCUGUCGCAAGUGGGGGGGCUUCGGAUCGCUUGGGAUGUUGGGAGCUUAGGUGGGAGUAGCUAGUUGGUGGGGUAGAUGGCUAGCGAGGAGACGAUCCGAAACUGGUCUGAGAGGAGGGUCGGUCACACUGGAAGUGAGACAGGGUCCAUACUACUACGGGAGGCAGCAGUGGGGAAUAUUGGACAAUGGGCGAAAGCCUGAUACAGCCAUGCCGCGUGUGUGAUGAAGGUCUUCGGAUUGUAAAGCACUUUAAGUUGGGAGGAAGGGCAGUAAGUUAAUACCUAGCUGUUUUGACGGUACCAACAGAAUAAGCACCGGCUAACUACGUG
rnacentral:rRNA from 1 species